GAGAGAGACAUGCGCGCAUAUCAAUAAGCGGAGGAAAAGAAACUAACAAGGAUUCCCUUAGUAACGGCGAGUGAAGCGGGAAGAGCUCAAAUUUGAAAUCUUCAAGGUUCUACCUUGACGAAUUGUAGUUUAUAGAAGUGUUUUCUGUUAGUGGAGUGGCAAAAGUUCUUUGGAAUAGGACAUCAUAGAGGGUGAGAAUCCCGUAUUUGGUCAUUCCUCCUAGCGUUGUGAUACACUUUCAACGAGUCGGAUUGUUUGGGAAUGCAGUCCAAAAUGGGUGGUAAAUUCCAUCUAAAGCUAAAUAUUGGCGAGAGACCGAUAGCGAACAAGUACCGUGAGGGAAAGAUGAAAAGAACUUUGAAAAGAGAGUUAAACAGUACGUGAAAUUGUCAAAAGGGAAGCGUUUGACACCAGUGUUGUUUUUCCGAAAAUCAAUUACGAAUGUUUUAUUUUUGAGGAGUUAUGACUUCAUCGGCUUGCUCCUUUCUUUACGAAACUUUCUUAAUGCACUUUUCGGUUAACAAGUCAACAUCAAUUUCUUUUGUUGUAAAAGGGUAUGAGGAAGGUGGCUUUCUUUUCGGAGAAAGUGUUUAUAGCCUUGUGCCUCUGCAAUCGGAGAGAUUGAGGUCUGCAGCGUAGAUCCUUCGGGGUUAGAUACAGUUUGUGCUAAGUUAUAGCUUUUCAUAGACAACUUGUUGACUAUGUUUAGUCUUGUAGCUUACUCGCUUAUGCUAUUUUACCUACGCUUAGGAUGUUGAUAGUCACAGCGUGUAC
rnacentral:rRNA from 1 species